rnacentral:rRNA from 1 species
AUUGAACGCUGGCGGCAUGCCUAACACAUGCAAGUCGAGCGGAUGAAGGGUGCUGGCUCCUGGAUUCAGCGGCGGACGGGUGAGUAAUACCUAUAAAUCGGCAUGUUAUGAGUAGAGAACGUCCGGAAACGGGCGCUAAUACCACAUACGUCCUGGGGGAGAAAGUGAGAGAGCUUCGGACCUCACGCUAGCAUAUGACCCUAGGUCGGAUUAGCUAGUUGGUGGGGUAAAGGCCUACCAAGGCGACGAUCCGUAACUGGUCUGAGAGGAUGAUCAGUCACACUGGAACUGAGACACGGUCCAGACUCCUACGGGAGGCAGCAGUGGGGAAUAUUGGACAAUGGGCGAAAGCCUGAUCCAGCCAUGCCGCGUGUGUGAAGAAGGUCUUCGGAUUGUAAAGCACUUUAAGUUGGGAGGAAGGGCAGUAAGUUAAUACCUUGCUGUUUUGACGUUACCAAAAGAAUAAGCACCGGCUAACUUCGUG